rnacentral:misc_RNA from 1 species
GAUGAAGAACGCAGCGAAAUGCGAUAAGUAAUGUGAAUUGCAGAAUUCAGUGAAUCAUCGAGUCUUUGAACGCACAUUGCGCCCCCUGGUAUUCCGGGGGGCAUGCCUGUCCGAGCGUCAUUGCCGCCCUCAAGCACGGCUUGUGUGUUGGGCCCCCGCCCCCCGGCUUCGGGGGGCGGGCCCGAAAGGCAGCGGCGGCACCGCGUCCGGUCCUCGAGCGUAUGGGGCUUCGUCACCCGCUCUGUAGGCCCGGCCGGCGCCCGCCGGCGACCCCAAUCAAUCUUUCCAGGUUGACCUCGGAUCAGGUAGGGAUACCCGCUGAACUUAAGCAUAUCAAAAGCGAGGA